UACGGGGGGGGCAAGCGUUGUUCGGAAUUACUGGGCGUAAAGGGCGCGUAGGCGGCCUUCUAAGUCGGACGUGAAAUCCCUCGGCUUAACCGAGGAACUGCGUCCGAUACUGAAAGGCUUGAAUCCGGGAGAGGGAUGUGGAAUUCCAGGUGUAGCGGUGAAAUGCGUAGAUAUCGGGAGGAACACCAGUGGCGAAGGCGACUACCUGGCCUGUUCUUGACGCUGAGGCGCGAAAGCUAGGGGAGCAAACGGG
rnacentral:rRNA from 1 species